CGGCCUCCGAGGCGGGCCGAGCCGGGCGCAGCUUCUGCGGCCCUGGGACGCACCCGUAGUUGCGGCCAUGGCGGGGCGGGACCGGCCCGACCCCGCGCACCGCCGUCGGCGCGCCGCCGUCUGACGUCCGACGCUGCGUGAUGACGUCACGGGCGACGCGGGGGGAGGAGCCUGCUGGGAGGCGUGGUGGACCCGCCCCUCCCGCAGCCAAUCAGGGAGCGGCGCUGAGCGCGGCGCCGGGACGCGGUGUUCCGGAUCAACCCGCGCUGCUCGGGGAGGUGCUAGUGCAAAAGAAGUUCCCCAGCUACUGGAACCCAGUGAUGUGCCUGGGCAGGCACACCGUGCUCGCCAUCACUGCAAGGAGGCAAGUGCCCCAGAGCCUGGCCGUGGCAGGGCGUCUCCGCAGCAGGGGCCUGAUGGCAGCAGGCGUGCCCCAGCUGCCAGCGUCCAACAGGCGGUUCCUCUCCGGCAACAUGCCAGCCCCAAAGCCCUUCCCUCCUGGAGAGGGGCCAAAGGCCAUUUUGUAGGAGCUGCGGGCUGGGAUAAUGACUGGUGACCGCAGUAGGUCUCCACUGGGGCAGCCGUUCCUGAGGCUGCCAGGAGGGCGGGCCUCCGUUCCAGGCUCUUGUCCUGUUCAGGGGAAGCCUGGGCGCCUUGUCAGCACCCCGCCAGGUGCCUGGCAGAGUGGCCGCUCCAGGAGCUGCCACUGCAUCCUCUGUCAAACCGGCAGCUUUUGACUUCUCAGGCUCUGCUGCCCUACAUCAAGUGCAAGAGGGUGAAAGCGCGCCGGUGUGCUGUGGGGAGGAUUGCCAGACUGAGCCGGGUCCUGGUCACCCCUGCUCUGAUGGAGAGCUCGUCUGAACAGAGUAAAAACAGGGACGGCGUUUCCUGCUCAGAAGACAAGUGUGAGACGCUGCUGGGGCAGCUGUUGGGGCACCUGACCCUGUGCCGUGCCGAGGUGGACCAGGAGAUCCGCCAUGGGUCUGAGGAGGCUCUGCGUGCCAUCCACAGCGUCUUCGUAGCUCGAGAGAGUUACUCGGUGGCACGUGCCGGUCAAAGUCUGUAUGCGGAGGGGGAAUGGCGGCCCUGCUUCCGGCCCUACUAUCUUUUUGAGGAGAAAAUGGCACUGGGCAGGCUGCUCCUCCCCAUGGAGAGGGGGAACUUGGUCCUCACCGUCCUGGAGGGCAUGGUGCAGCCGAGGGUCUCCGACACUGGGGUGGUUGCCACCAUGUUGGAUGAGGUCCUGAGAGAUGGGGCCUCUAAGCUCUCGAAUGUGCCUGAGAUCCUGCGGAGCAUCUAUGAACACCUGAUGUUGCUCAGCAAGGAGUCGCUCCGGGACAUCGUGAUCCGGACCCUUUUCCAGAUCACACCCUUGGACCCCCAGUGUGUGGUCAGGGCCAUGCUGCGUGACAUCCCAUGGUGUGACAGGCUUUCCACAACCAUGUGGCAGACGAUGGUCUCCGAGCCCAGCCUUGCAAAGCAGGUGGUGUACAACCUGCUGAUGCAGCGGCCACAGACCAAGCACGAUGGCUUUGGCCCAGGCCGCAACUGCGUCCAUCACCUGCAUGUGGGUUUCUGGAUGACGCCUUGCUCACUCCCGGCGCGGCUGCGCUCCCCUCCCCUCCCGUCUGCAGCCCCUCGUCCUCUCUUCCCCUGCCCUCGAUCCCCAAGCUCCCAGCCUGCAGGCUCAGGCAGCAUUGCAGGGGCAGCUGUGCAGUGAGGGCCGUCCCUGGGUGUUUUCUGCAGAUAAUCCGUGCCUUGCACG
rnacentral:lncRNA from 1 species